rnacentral:rRNA from 1 species
GACGGAAGGUGCAAGCGUUGCUCGGAAUCACUGGGCGUAAAGUGUGCGCAGGCGGCCGCGCAAGUCGAGUGUGAAAUCCCCGAGCUUAACUUGGGAAUUGCGCUCGAAACUACGUGGCUGGAGUGUGGCAGAGGAAGGUGGAAUUCCACGUGUAGCGGUGAAAUGCGUAGAGAUGUGGAGGAACACCGAUGGCGAAGGCAGCCUUCUGGGCCAACACUGACGCUCAUGCCACGAAAGCGUGGGGAGCAAACAGG